GGGCUCAGUGGUCGAGCAUCUGUUUUGUAAGCAGAAGGCCCUGGAUAAAUCCCCAGCAUCUCCA
rnacentral:tRNA from 1 species